rnacentral:tRNA from 1 species
CGGAAUGGCUCAGUUGGUAGAGCGACGCAUUCGUAAUGCGUAGGUCGCGGGUUCGAGUCCCGCUUCCG